rnacentral:rRNA from 1 species
ACUACGGGAGGCAGCAGUGGGGAAUAUUGGGCAAUGGGCGCAAGCCUUACCCAGCACUACCGCGUGAGUGAAGAAGGUCUUCGGAUUGUAAAGCUCUUUGAUCAGGGACGAACAGAUGACGGUACCUGAAGAACAAGCCCCGGCUAACUACGUGCCAGCAGCCGCUGUAAAACGUAGGGGGCGAGCGUUGUCCGGAAGAACUGGGCGUAAAGGGGGGGUAGGCGGCAUAAUAAGUUAGAAGGGAAAUACCCAGGGCUUAACUCGGGUGCUGCUUCUAAGACUGUUGAGCUUGAGUGCGGGAGAGGUUAAUGGAAUUCCUAGUGUAGCGGUGGAAUGCGUAGAUAUUAGGAGGAACACCAGAGGCGAAGGCGAUUAACUGGACCGUAACUGACGCUGAGGCACGAAAGUGUGGGUAGCAAACAGGAUUAGAUACCCGGGUAGUC